AGGUUCGAAGGCGAUCAGAUACCGCCCUAGUUCUAACCAUAAACGAUGCCAACCAGCAAUCCGCCUGAGUUACUCCAAUGACUCUGCGGGCAGCUUCCGGGAAACCAAAGUAUUUGGGUUCCGGGGGAAGUAUGGUUGCAAAGCUGAAACUUAAAGGAAUUGACGGAAGGGCACCACCAGGAGUGGAGCCUGCGGCUCAAUUUGACUCAACACGGGAAAACUUACCCGGCCCGGACACUGGGAGGAUUGACAGAUUGAGAGCUCUUUCUUGAUUCGGUGGAUGGUGGUGCAUGGCCGUUCUUAGUUGGUGGAGCGAUUUGUCUGGUUAAUUCCGAUAACGAACGAGACUCCAGCCUACUAAAUAGGUGCGAGGUUCUCUGCACCUUUCACCCUUCUUAGAGGGACAAGCGGCUCCUAGCCGCACGAAACGGAGCAAUAACAGGUCUGUGAUGCCCUUAGAUGUCCGGGGCCGCACGCGCGCUACACUGAAGAAAGCAGCGUGUGUUUUCCCUGCCUGAAAAGACUGGGUAACCCAAUGAACCUUCUUCGUGAUUGGGAUAGGGGAUUGCAAUUAUUCCCCUUGAACGAGGAAUUCCCAGUAAGCGCAAGUCAUAAGCUCGCGCUGAUUACGUCCCUGCCCUUUGUACACACCGCCCGUCGCUACUACCGAUUGGAUGAUUUAGUGAGGUCUUCGGAUCGGUACCCGUAGCGACCGCACCGCGGCCGCGCCGGAGUGUUGAGAAGAUGACCGAACUUGAUCAUUUAGAGGAAGUAAAAGUCGUAACAAGGUU
rnacentral:rRNA from 1 species